GAUGAAGAACGCAGCUAAACGCGAAAGGUAAUGCGAAUUGCAGAAUCAGUGAGUCAUCGAAUCUUUGAACGCACAUUGCGCCUCUAGGUAUUCCUGGAGGCACGCCUGUUCGAGCGCCAUUACACACUCCAAGCUCUGCUUGAUGUUGGACGACCCGAGAGAUCGGACGUCUGGAACGUGUGGGCGUCGGGCGUCGGACCACGAGCGUAGCAAGACCAUCAAACAGUCAAGUCGUUCUGUGGAGCCGGCGGUCGACCGCCUCUUUUUACAACUUUAACCACAAGUUUGGCCUCGGAUCAGGCGGGGAUACCCGCUGAACUUAAGCAUAUCAAUAAGCGGAGGA
rnacentral:misc_RNA from 1 species